UGCACCAAAAGCAAUGGACUCACCUGUUC
rnacentral:piRNA from 1 species